rnacentral:rRNA from 1 species
GGGUUGUAAACUUCUUUUAUACGGGAAUAAAGUGAGGCACGCGUGCCUUUUUGUAUGUACCGUAUGAAUAAGGAUCGGCUAACUCCGUGCCAGCAGCCGCGGUAAUACGGAGGAUCCGAGCGUUAUCCGGAUUUAUUGGGUUUAAAGGGAGCGUAGGCGGACGCUUAAGUCAGUUGUGAAAGUUUGCGGCUCAACCGUAAAAUUGCAGUUGAUACUGGGUGUCUUGAGUACAGUAGAGGCAGGCGGAAUUCGUGGUGUAGCGGUGAAAUGCUUAGAUAUCACGAAGAACUCCGAUUGCGAAGGCAGCUUGCUGGACUGUAACUGACGCUGAUGCUCGAAAGUGUGGGUAUCAAACAGGAUUAGAUACCCUGGUAGUCCACACAGUAAA